rnacentral:rRNA from 1 species
GACGUAGGGCGCGAGCGUUGUCCGGAUUUAUGGCGUAAAGAGCUCGUAGGCGGCCUGUUGCGUCCGCUGUGAAAGCCCGGGGCUUAACCCCGGGUCUGCAGUGGAUACGGGCAGGCUAGAGGUAGGUAGGGGAGAAGUGGGAAUUCCCGGUUGUAGCGGUGGAAAUGCGCAGAUAUCGGGAGGAACACCGGUGGCGAAGGCGGUUCUCUGGGCCUUCCUGACGCUGAGGAGCGAAAGCGUGGGGAGCGAACAGGA